ensembl:lncRNA
AUGGAAAAGCAAAUGUACCAUUAUGCAGAAAAAUGUAUGCCUCGAAAAAAGAAGGUUUGGGAGUCUUUCCAUUCGAACACCUUCAGGAUCUUUGAUGAAACGUUGCCAGAGCGUCUCGUCCCCGUCCGUGUCGAUCAGAACCAUAAAUAUCCUGCGAGAGACCCACAAGAGUCUGAGACCCGCAAUGUCCCACAUCCUCACAACGCCAGAUUCAUCAGGACUAAUGUCAGAUUCCUUAACGAGCCCAUCGCUCAUAUGGAGACGAGACAUACUGAGAUAGAACAGUUUAACUGGUGGUCAAACAGUCCUAAAGAAGAUCUUCCCGUGAAAGCAGUUUACAGUAAAGCCAGCACUCAGAGAAGUGAUUUCCAGGCGAUCAGAGACGCUCCAGUCAGAGAACGAGAGACCAACAGACCCGCAGCAUCUGGAAUCGUUCCUGCUCUAAGUUCCCUUGACCAAUCAGAAAAGCUCCAAGAUUAUCAUAAACCUGAAUGAUUGUUGAAGAUCACACGAUCAGCCCUAAAGGAAAGGUGAGACUUUAUCCAAAAUCAGCAGUCUGUCAUCAUUUUGUAAAACAGGAAAUGUUUGAAGAAUAUCUCUUUCCCAUACAAUGAAAACCCACAAUGACCAGUUCCAAAAACACAAUUAAUGCACAACAAGUAUCAUAAAAAUAAUCCAUAUGUGCAUAAGUUAUAUUUAAGUGGGGAGCUUAUUUUUAUGGUUUUUAUGAUAUUAAUCAAUAAAAACUGACAGUGUUGUUAUUGCUUAACA